rnacentral:misc_RNA from 1 species
UGGAAUUAGUCUCUCUUGCAUAUAGCUUUCUGAAUCUGGCGUUAAACAGUAAUUAAAAGCGUGUGUAUUAUGGUAAUAAACUGAUUAGAAGGAUGAGAAAGGUCGACAGUCAUAGCUUUGGAUGCAAGUCUCCGCUAGCGAGACGUCUAACCGGGUCAAGCCGAAUGGGGCCUGCGCGUGUGCAUGCAUCUCUAGCAAGGGAAAUUUCUAGUUGUAGUGUAUUGGCUGUUGGUGUCUAUAUACUAUCUGUGAAAAGCCACCGUUCUUUUCAUAUUUUUAUUUCUUUAAUUAAUACAGCAUCUCCCCCAUUACCGCCCAAAGCUAUUACA